rnacentral:rRNA from 1 species
AGUCGAGCGAGAAGUCACAUUACUAAUUCUUCGGAAGAAGUAAAGUGAUGGAAAGCGGCGGACGGGUGAGUAACGCGUAGGCAACCUGCCUCUCACAGGGGGAUAGCCAUCGGAAACGGUGAUUAAUACCCCAUAAAGUCAAAAUAACACAUGUUAAGCUGACCAAAGAUUUAUCGGUGAGAGAUGGGCCUGCGUCUGAUUAACUAGUUGGUGAGGUAACGGCUCACCAAGGUGACGAUCAGUAGCCGACCUGAGAGGGUGAACGGCCACAUUGGAACUGAGACACGGUCCAAACUUCUACGGAAGGCAGCAGUAGGGAAUCUUGCACAAUGGGCGAAAGCCUGAUGCAGCAACGCCGCGUGAAGGAAGAAGGCCUUAGGGUCGUAAACUUCUGUUCUUGGGGAAGAAAAAAAUGACGGUACCCAAGGAGGAAGCCCCGGCUAACUACGUGCCAGCAGCCGCGGUAAUACGUAGGGGGCAAGCGUUAUCCGGAAUUAUUGGGCGUAAAGCGUGCGUAGGUGGUAAUUUAAGCGCAAGGUUUAAACUAACGGCUCAACCGUUAAUUGCCAUGCGAACUGGGUUACUUGAAUGCUGGAGGGGAAAGCGGAAUUCCUAG